AAUAAUACAUUUUCAAAGGCCCUUUUAUGAAAUGAUUGCGUUGCAAAUAAACAACUUUUUGCAAAUGUCAAAAGUUCUAUUGGUCUACAAAACUAUAAAAUGGAUUAUUUUACUCGGCAAAGUACUUGGCAAACUCUCAUUGUUUUAUUGUUUUCUGUCCAAUUCUUGGAAUUGCAUUCGCAAUGCAAAAAGUCAAUUUAACUGUUGGUGCUUUUUCGGUGCCAUUCGCUGAAGGAUUCGUUGAAGAAGACGAUCAAGUUGUUCCUAAAUUGAAGUCUCUUAAACGAUUUGCAGCCAUUCUCUCGGAUUAUGGUCCUUUCAAUCUGAAAUUCAUUUUACCCAAGGAAGGACAAUUGGGAGUGCUAACAGAAACUGGUUAUCAUGAUGGAGUUUUGGGUUUAAUGCAAGAAAAUGUAAGUACAGUUCAUGUGGCAAUCAAUGUAAAAAUUACUGUUAGACUAAAACAUGUAAUGGUUAUUCGAGCUUAUGCACUUGAAUUCGCACAAUACUCAAAUACUUGGAUACUCAAAUGGCUCCUGGUAUUUUCACUCCAGUUAUAUCAGAAAUGGACUAUUACAUCCUUACACAUCUUUAUUUAAAUGAUGCAAGUUCAGCUCUCAUCUCAAGCUUGACUUCAGUACAAGCAAUUCCUUUAUUAUUAGCUGUUCUAACAAUAUUAAUAUUGGAGUUAAUUGCUGUUAAACACUUCAAAAUUGAAGCAUUGCUCACAGCCAUCUUUAAAUCCUUCGGUAUCUCAUUUUACCAGGAUUUAUCUCAUCGUUCAUCAUGGCUUUGCCUGAUUCAAAUGCUAAUUUUAAUGUUUCCAGUAUUCAUCUUCAAUUCUGCAUUCAGUACCCAAACGAUUGUAGGAACUACGGACUAUAAGGUUGAUACAUUAAAGGAUGUUAUUGAACAAGGAAAGAUACCACGUUUCCUCGAAGGUAUUUCAAUGUAUGACUUCUUCAAAGGCAAAGUCAAUAAAGACUAUGCUGAGAUCUAUGAACGAGCAGUUGCCAAAGGAUUUGGUGAACCAUUUCCAUUAGGUCCCAUUACCGGUGUUGAUAGAUUAGACAAGAUGGUCACUUUCGUUUCUGGCAUUGGAAGGAAACUGGCACCAUUGUCAGCUGCUGGAUCUAAUUUACUUAAACCGAAUCUUAUUUACUUCAUCUGAAUCACUCAAAAAAAAGUAUAAUACUUUAUCUCGUCGAAUGAUCCAAGGUGGCAUUUUUGCGAAAAUAGAAGGCGACAUUUACAUUGACUUUAUACUCUCCUUUUAUCCUGCAACCUUAUACGACUUUCACAAGUCUCAAGCUCCUCGUAAAGGCGAUGAUCUCAAUUGGAAACCAGUAAAUUACAGUGGACUCGUUCAAAUAUUUCAUUUACUCAUCUUUAUUUUAAUUCUGUCCAUAGUUGUACUGCUUGUUGAGUUAAUCAUUGCUUUUUUAACUCGAUCCAAGUGAAUUGGACGUAAAUGUAUUAAAACUAUUAAAAGUACAGUAAAAAAUAGGC